UGGGGAAUAUUGCACAAUGGGCGCAAGCCUGAUGCAGCCAUGCCGCGUGUAUGAAGAAGGCCUUCGGGUUGUAAAGUACUUUCAGCGAGGAGGAAGGCGUUGUGGUUAAUAACCGCAGCGAUUGACGUUACUCGCAGAAGAAGCACCGGCUAACUCCGUGCCAGCAGCCGCGGUAAUACGGAGGGUGCAAGCGUUAAUCGGAAUUACUGGGCGUAAAGCGCACGCAGGCGGUCUGUCAAGUCGGAUGUGAAAUCCCCGGGCUCAACCUGGGAACUGCAUCCGAAACUGGUAGGCUAGAGUCUUGUAGAGGGGGGUAGAAUUCCAGGUGUAGCGGUGAAAUGCGUAGAGAUCUGGAGGAAUACCGGUGGCGAAGGCGGCCCCCUGGACAAAGACUGACGCUCAGGUGCGAAAGCGUGGGGAGCAAACA
rnacentral:rRNA from 1 species